rnacentral:rRNA from 1 species
ACGCACGCUGGCGGCGCGCCUAACACAUGCAAGUCGAACGGAGCUGAGAGAAGCUUGCUUUUCUUAGCUUAGUGGCGAACGGGUGAGUAACGCGUGAGUAACCUGCCCUGGAGUGGGGGACAACAGUUGGAAACGACUGCUAAUACCGCAUAAGCCCACGAUCCGGCAUCGGAUUGAGGGAAAAGGAUUUAUUCGCUUCAGGAUGGACUCGCGUCCAAUUAGCUAGUUGGUGAGGUAACGGCCCACCAAGGCGACGAUUGGUAGCCGGACUGAGAGGUUGAACGGCCACAUUGGGACUGAGACACGGCCCAGACUCCUACGGGAGGCAGCAGUGGGGGAUAUUGCACAAUGGGGGAAACCCUGAUGCAGCGACGCCGCGUGGAGGAAGAAGGUUUUCGGAUUGUAAACUCCUGUCGUUAGGGACGAUAAUGACGGUACCUAACAAGAAAGCACCGGCUAACUACGUG